rnacentral:lncRNA from 1 species
UUCCUUACAACAACUUUGUAUGAGCUCACUUCCCAUCCCUCUUUUUUGCCUUUAAAAACUUGCUUGUAACAAAGGCUGGGCGGAGCUCACAUUCAACGUUUCUUGGGUCUAAAUCUUCCGGGCAGCUGUCUACACUUUGGCUCAGUCACUAUUAUUGAUGGGUGGGCACCCUGACUGGAGCAGCUACCACCCCUGGGGUCAACUGGGAAGCGUCUGGUGCUGCGAUCGAGGCACCCCCAGAAUCAUCGCACUGAGUAAAGAGAGAAACCUUUCAAAGGAAGGGAUGCUUGGCAGAGGAAAAUCAGCACUCCCAUUGUAGCGUUCAAGUAAAUAAAUUCAAGGUAAGUGAACUGUUGUGAACUUGAACAAAUCUCUUUACAUUUUCUCCUUGGCAAAAGGACGAUCAAAAGUCUACGCUCACUUCAAGGAGUUAGUAUCUAACAUGCAUCAGUCUUUAAAUCUGAUGACUGUUGUGAAGUCGGCCUCAGAGGGGACUCCAUGCCCUUGUCUUAUUCCAAAAAAUGUCCCACCACCACCUCACCGAUAAGUUACAAUUAGAGGUAUAACACAUUUUAUGUCUAUCAUUUGGGGAUCUCCAGCUACGAUAAGGAAGUGUCAUAAAAGAUGAAUUUAGGAUAAAUGUAUGGUGUCUGACACAGCUCGCUGCUGAGGAGCCCUGACUUGGGAGUGGACCAUGGUGUAGCCCCGACAGCAGGCAAGCUGAAGGAGGAGCGUGACCUCUGAGCCAGCGGGGAGCAACUCAGCAUCGAGGCACCACACACACACACACACACACACACACACACACACACGACUCUGCAUCCCAGAUAUCCCCCCACCCAGCCUGCAUUCCCUGGCUGGAGAAGGCAAGAAUGAGUCACCUGUCCCUUCCUCACUGCCCAGCUGAGCUGUUGGGGCAGCUACAGCCACAGGAAUACUCUUGAGAAAGGAGUGUAAUACCUGUGUCCUCGGGGAGGGCUUGGAAGAAUAAAGAAGGAACCUGGACAAGGACAGCUCGAGGGGUCCUUGCUUCGAGCAGACACCAACAGGAUUCGGGAAGUCCAGUGACUGACCCCUGGACAGCAGGCAGCAGGAAUGACUCCGAACAUGCUUUAAAACCAUGGUUUAAAGUCACACAAAUUUUAUCAAAAAAAUAAAAUUUCUGGAACUCAAACAUCCAAAAGUGGAUCCAACUUCAGGCAAAUCUGGACUUUGAGAGCCUGGCAGUGUCAUCAGGAUAUUUUUUUCUUGUUUGUGUGUUUUUGUUUGUGUAUGUGUGUCUGUGUUUUUUAAUGCCUCCCAUCUUGAGCUUCUUUUUGCAGAUAGAGUCUCCUCAUGAGGCUGGGAAGUCAGCUGCCAACAUCCUCAGAUUCACUUUCUCUGUUUGGGGACCAGAACAGAAUAUAAGCCCAGUUCAGCCCAGCUGAAGUACUGAUAUAGUUUGGACGUUUGUCCCCUCCAAAUCUUACAUUGAAAUGCAAUUCCCAGUGUUGGAGGUGGGGCCUGGUGGAAGGUGUUUGGAUCGGCGGGGUGGAUUCCUCGUGAAUGGUUUAGUCAUCCCAUUGGGAAUAAGUGAGUUCUCUCUCUGAGUUCAGAGAUCUGGUUAUUUAGAGUCUAGGCCUCCUCUCCCUCUCGCUCCUCCUCUCACUAUGUGAUAUGCCGGUACCCACUUCACUUUCCACCAUGAGUAAAAGCUCCCUGUGGCCUCACUAGAA